GACGAACGCUGGCGGCGUGCUUAACACAUGCAAGUCGAACGGUGAAGCGCCUUCCUUUUUGGUGGGUGUGGAUGAGUGGCGAACGGGUGGGUAACACGUGAGUAACCUGCCCCCUUCUUCUGGAUAACCGCAUGAAAGUGUGGCUAAUACGGGAUAUUCUGGGUCUGUCGCAUGAUGGGUCUGGGAAAGAUAUUGUUUCGGUGGGGGAUGGGCUCGCGGCCUAUCAGCUUGUUGGUGGGGUGAUGGCCUACCAAGGCGGUGACGGGUAGCCGGCCUGGGAGGGUGGACGGUCACACUGGGACUGAGACACGGCCCAGACUCCUACGGGAGGCAGCAGUGGGGAAUAUUGCACAAUGGGGGCAAGCCUGAUGCAGCGACGCCGCGUGAGGGAUGGAGGCCUGCGGGUUGUGAACCUCUUUCGCCAGUGAAGCAGGCCUGCCUCGUUUGUGGGUGGGUUGACGGUAGCUGGAUAAGAAGCGCCGGCUAACUACGUG
rnacentral:rRNA from 1 species